UGGUAGACACGCUGCUCUUA
rnacentral:siRNA from 1 species